rnacentral:lncRNA from 1 species
CUGGGGAAGAGGGGAGGAGCCCAGGGGGAGGGGCUAGGAGAAGAAGAGGGAGGGAAAGAGGAAACACAAGAAACUGGAUACCACCUCAGCCACUCAUUAACAAAAUUCAGAGGCAGAAAUAUAAAAUAAAACAAGGCACAGAUUUUUCUUGUCUUAAUUUUUCAUCAACAGUAUGUUGUCUGUGUUACAUCCAAUGAAUUCGCUGUUGUUUUAAAAUAAGUUAAUAAUUAUUUCAUAAAUGUUUCUACCGUGUAAGUAGAUACAGCCCAAAUAAGCAAAGGCCUUUUGGGAAAUUCAGAUAUUUCUCAGUAUAUAAAGGAGGAGCAGAAAUGAUGGCUCAGCAAUGGAGAGCACUCCCUGCUCCUAGUAGAGGACCCUGGUUCAGUUCCC